rnacentral:rRNA from 1 species
GAUGAACGCUGGCGGCGUGCCUAAUACAUGCAAGUCGAGCGAACGGACGAGAAGCUUGCUUCUCUGAUGUUAGCGGCGGACGGGCGAGUAACACGUGGAUAACCUACCUAUAAGACUGGGAUAACUUCGGGAAACCGUAGCUAAUACCGGAUAAUAUUUUGAACCGCAUGGUUCAAAAGUGAAAGACGGUCUUGCUGUCACUUAUAGAUGGAUCCGCGCUGCAUUAGCUAGUUGGUAAGGUAACGGCUUACCAAGGCAACGAUGCAUAGCCGACCUGAGAGGGUGAUCGGCCACACUGGAACUGAGACACGGUCCAGACUCCUACGGGAGGCAGCAGUAGGGAAUCUUCCGCAAUGGGCGAAAGCCUGACGGAGCAACGCCGCGUGAGUGAUGAAGGUCUUCGGAUCGUAAAGCUCUGUUAUUAGGGAAGAACAUAUGUGUAAGUAACUGUGCACAUCUUGACGGUACCUAAUCAGAAAGCCACGGCUAACUACGUG